rnacentral:guide_RNA from 1 species
AUAAAUAACGAUCAAAUGCAGAGUUUAUAAGAUAGAAAUGAUGGU